rnacentral:lncRNA from 1 species
GAAGAACCCAACAACCAAGUGGCUGGGUUUAAUUAUGGUAGUCCAACAUAUUUCUUUUUUAUUAGUUUUUUUUUUAUUUUAAUUCUAAUUUUUAAUUUACCUUGGUUUAUUUAUCCAAAUUAGCAUUAAAAUGAUAACUAAUCAUAAGUGGCCUGGUGGAGAGGGGGUGGUUUUCAUGGUCUGUAGUGGAGUGGGUUUGAUACUUAUAUGAAGCACUUUAUUUCUCUUAGCAUUCAUUUUGUUCUUUAUGUUU